AGUGAACGCUGGCGGUAGGCCUAACACAUGCAAGUCGAACGGCAGCACAGUAAGAGCUUGCUCUUACGGGUGGCGAGUGGCGGACGGGUGAGGAAUACAUCGGAAUCUACUUUUUCGUGGGGAUUAACUAGGGGAAAUUAUGCUAAUACCCCCUUCGAACUUCCGGUGGAAGCCAGGGAACCUUCGACCUUUCGCGAAUGAAUGAGCCGAUGUCGGAUUAGCCAGUUGGCGGGGUAAAGGCCCACCAAGGCGACGAUCCGUAGCUGGUCUGAGAGGAUGAUCAGCCACACUGGAACUGAGACACGGUCCAGACUCCUACGGGAGGCAGCAGUGGGGAAUAUUGGACAAUGGGCGCAAGCCUGAUCCAGCCAUACCGCGUGGGUGAAGAAGGCCUUCGGGUUGUAAAGCCCUUUUGUUGGGAAAGAAAAGCAGCAGGUUAAUACCCCGCUGUUCUGACGGUACCCAAAGAAUAAGCACCGGCUAACUUCGUG
rnacentral:rRNA from 1 species